AAAAAAAAAACAAAUAUUAGUAGACGCAAGUGCUCUGUCCUUUGCGGUUGGGUCUUGCUCCACUUGAUGAUUUACUGCUCAGAUCUCAUGGGGAAGAAUAUGUCAGCUCUUUCAUAAUUUGCUGAACCUGGUAAACCCUAAAGUUCAGCUCUCUCACUGUAGCGUUCCAAGUGCUAACUGGAUCCAUCCAAGACUGUGUGGUGUAACCAGCAGGUUCUUCAGUUGCUAAGUAUUUUUGGCUAUUAUAGAAUCUAGACCUAGGACUUGGAUUUGGAUUUGAGUAGAAGAACAAUCAUUGCAGAUCCAGUGAGAAUUCUUCUUCUCUUUUUCUUUGAAUUUAAUAUCUUUUUUUUAAUUUUUUUAAUUGCAGAUCCAUAGGAGGUGAUCAUUCAAUAUUUGUUGUAAAAUAUCUGAGGAAAAGAAGAUGUAAAAUAUGCAAAAUCUGUGGCUUUGGCUAUUUUCUCCCUUUGUCCACUUGUGAUGUUUUGUAGAGAUGGAAGCAUUCAUUGGUUAAAGAGUUUAUUUGACAUUGCAAUUCGAUCUGCUGUUGAGAAAAACAUUUUUUUAAGAGCAUCUUAAUUUGGCAAGGAACAUCAUUUUGCUUUGCAAGUGUUUGGUGAUCAGGGGGCUGUGCAAGUGAUGAAGCCGAUGAUCAUGGGAUAUUCUUGUUUCCUUUAAGGUGCCUACUCACGUUGUAAGGCUGAAGAACUUCGGUCUUCUAUUCUGUGGAUUAAUCAGCGUGGUCUUAAUAGUGUGUUAGUUGAGAUAUUUUUGCAGGAA